rnacentral:rRNA from 1 species
GACGAACGCUGGCGGCGUGCUUAACACAUGCAAGUCGAACGGAAAGGCCCUGCUUUUGUGGGGUGCUCGAGUGGCGAACGGGUGAGUAACACGUGAGUAACCUGCCCUUGACUUUGGGAUAACUUCAGGAAACUGGGGCUAAUACCGGAUAGGAGCUCCUGCUGCAUGGUGGGGGUUGGAAAGUUUCGGCGGUUGGGGAUGGACUCGCGGCUUAUCAGCUUGUUGGUGGGGUAGUGGCUUACCAAGGCUUUGACGGGUAGCCGGCCUGAGAGGGUGACCGGCCACAUUGGGACUGAGAUACGGCCCAGACUCCUACGGGAGGCAGCGGUGGGGAAUAUUGCACAAUGGGCGGAAGCCUGAUGCAGCAACGCCGCGUGCGGGAUGACGGCCUUCGGGUUGUAAACCGCUUUCGCCUGUGACGAAGCGUGAGUGACGGUAAUGGGUAAAGAGACACCGGCUAACUACGU